GCACCACAAGAACGCGUGGAGCAUGUGGCUUAAUUUGACUCAACGCGGGAAAUCUUACCGGGUCCGGACACACUGAGGAUUGACAGGCAAUAUCUCAUGGUUAUUAAUCGGUUAUUUAUUUAAGCGGUUAAUUAAGCAUCGAGUGUUAAAUAUGCUAGUCCUUUCAUGAUUAUGUGAUAGGUGGUGCAUGGCCGUUCUUAGUUCGUGGAGUGGUCUGUCUGCUUAAUUGCGUUCCACUAAGGGCCCAUAAAUUCAAGGUAUGUUAGCUAUCGUCGCUCUAUGGACCCCUUAAUCAAGCUAUUAGUUUGUUUAAGCGCGCGUCUUUAUUUAAUGAGUUUAAGACACUGCGCAUGCUGUUGGGCUCUGAAAGCAACGAACGUGACCGCAACGUCUUGUUGCCUUAAUAAAGUUGGCUUUAAAUACGAAAUUCGUAUUUAAACCGCUUACAGAGGCUAUUUAAAACUAGACGGACCGCUGUUUCUUUUCUUAAACCAGAGGAAGGUUGCGGCAAUAACAGGUCUGUGAUGC
rnacentral:rRNA from 1 species